CUGGGUGAAGGCUCUUCUCACGUCAAUGAUCGAGGACAUGACAACCACAAACACCGACCACAGAGAGACUCAGAGCAUCGCAAAUUCUGACACCAGCAUAGAGUCACAGCUGAGUGCUCAGAAGACUCUGAGGCUGCAAUGAAUCCCAGGGAUCACAAGGCAAAGGCUGACAAGGCAAUGACUGAGGAUGUGGCCAUCACCACUGCCAACACCAGAGAGACUCAGGAAAUCCCAAAUAGUGACACCAUGCCCACUCCCCCUGUGAUUUGUACUCCCACUAAGGAUUUCUUCCAGGAGAGUGCUGUUUGCACACAGGAACAGAUUUUCCCAAAGUUUCUGCGCAGUCGACAUAGAAAGCCCGGCAACACAGCAGCUGAGGGCCCAGCUGAGCCUGACUCGGGGCUGACCCAGCUCCAGGUCUUGUUUCCUUUUUCCUCUUGGCAGAGAAAUUCGCCAGUCAUCCAUACACUUUUGUUGUGGGAUUGCAUUCUACCUGCUCAGCCUGCUCAGCAAAGAGGUGCCGUACUGGGAUUUCCCUGCCCUGGCAUUCAUUGUGGAGGUCCUCGAGUGCCUGGACUUGAGGGAAUGCAGUGACAGCGUUCUGGACAUCAUGUCAAAGGACCUGUGGAGCGAGGACGGGG